UGACUCUGUCACCAGCCCAUUCUCUUCCCCUACCCGAUUCUAGGGGCACCUCUUAGGAAGGGCGCCCCUCUCUCUUCCCUGAACUCCGACCCUGUUUAAUAUAGUAUGUUUACACUCUGCCUUCAUCAGAUGCUAGCCUGCCCAGUUUGCUAUUGUGCUUUGUCCUGUUUCUCUUAGAAAUCUGUGAGCUCCCCAGGGGUGGGAGCAGAACUUUGGCUCCAUUCUCCCCCACACAGCAGAGAAUUGACUUUCCGCUGGGCACAGGGGAGGCUCAGUCAACACUCUAUCCCCAUGUGGCUACGUUGGCUUAGAGGCACAGAAUGGGAGAGAAGCAGGCUCUUGGCUGAGGAAAAGCCCUGGGCGAGCACUGAGGGAAGCUUGGCCUCAGACAUAGCCAGCUGCCCUCUGGACCUCGCAGCCCU
rnacentral:lncRNA from 1 species